CUGCCAUUGUCCUGGGCUAGAUGUGGCCCUGGAGCUAUUUAUCACCAAUCUGUACAGAGAAGCAAGAAGUCUGCAUGUCAUAGGUUUGGAAAUUUGACUUUGCCAUAAGAUCCAAGUUCAAGGUCCAAGCUGAAAUGAAAUCAAUUAUGAGAACAAAUAGCCCUGUUUUAUCACUGAUGAAUGGAUUUUGCACUGUUUUCCAUAUUCCUGCCACUUGAAAUGGAAGGCGCAGAGCACGCGAGCUUGCCAGGCAUUAACACUAAACAUUAGCGCACAGCCAUCUGAGGAGAAGUUAACGUGGGGCAGAAUCACUCUCUGUUGGAACCGAUGUUUAAUCUGUGUCGCCAAACUUUGCACUUACGGAUGCUGGAGAUUGGAUUUGUGCUGUAUUCUAGGACAUCCCUCACUCCAUUUGGAAAAGCCCCAGUUUGGGGGGGGGAUGGGUAAGGAACGGGUCCCAUCACAACUUUAUUGUCCUGUCCCUCAUUUCAUUUUAACGUGAUCAAUUGCAUUCGGU
rnacentral:lncRNA from 1 species